rnacentral:rRNA from 1 species
AACGAACGCUGGCGGCAGGCCUAACACAUGCAAGUCGAGCGAGAUCUUCGGGUCUAGCGGCGGACGGGUGAGUAACGCGUGGGAAUAUGCCGCUUGGUACGGAAUAGCCUCGGGAAACUGGGAGUAAUACCGGAUGUGCCCUUUGGGGGAAAGAUUUAUCGCCAAGAGAUUAGCCCGCGUUGGAUUAGGUAGUUGGGGGGGUAAUGGCCUACCAAGCCGACGAUCCAUAGCUGGUUUGAGAGGAUGAUCAGCCACACUGGGACUGAGACACGGCCCAGACUCCUACGGGAGGCAGCAGUGGGGAAUCUUAGACAAUGGGGGCAACCCUGAUCUAGCCAUGCCGCGUGAGUGAUGAAGGCCUUAGGGUUGUAAAGCUCUUUCAGCUGGGAAGAUAAUGACGGUACCAGCAGAAGAAGCCCCGGCUAACUCCGUG